CGUAAAGAGCUCGUAGGCGGUUUGUUGCGUCGGCUGUGAAAUCCCGAGGCUCAACCUCGGGUCUGCAGUCGAUACGAGCAAACUAGAGUGUUGCAGGGGAGACUGGAAUUCCUGGUGUAGCGGUGAAAUGCGCAGAUAUCAGGAGGAACACCGGUGGCGAAGGCGGGUCUCUGGGCAACAACUGACGCUGAGGAGCGAAAGCGUGGGGAGCGAACAGGAUUAGAUACCCUGGUAGUCCACGCCGUAAACGUUGGGCGCUAGGUGUGGGGCUCAUUCCACGAGUUCCGUGCCGCAGCUAACGCAUUAAGCGCCCCGCCUGGGGAGUACGGCCGCAAGGCUAAAACUCAAAGGAAUUGACGGGGGCCCGCACAAGCGGCGGAGCAUGUUGCUUAAUUCGAUGCAACGCGAAGAACCUUACCUAGGCUUGACAUGCACGGAAAUCCUCCAGAGAUGGUGGGUCCGUAAGGGCCGUGCACAGGUGGUGCAUGGUUGUCGUCAGCUCGUGUCGUGAGAUGUUGGGUUAAGUCCCGCAACGAGCGCAACCCUCGUUCCAUGUUGCCAGCACGUCAUGGUGGGGACUCAUGGGAGACUGCCGGGGUCAACUCGGAGGAAGGUGGGGAUGACGUCAAAUCAUCAUGCCCCU
rnacentral:rRNA from 1 species